rnacentral:lncRNA from 1 species
AACUCUAUCUCUAACUUUCCUAACAAACUACAACUCUUUAGGAAACAGAAAAACAGAUCCGUCAGCUUGUUUUGUCCGCCACGGUCAGCACCAGUCGAAUCUCUUGAUGGGCCAGAUCCGUUGGAAAGGUCUUGUAAUUACCUUUCCAACAAGUACUUGUUUGCUUGAUUUGGACUCCGGAUGCGGCCUGGGUGAUUAAAACAAAUUCGGGUCUCCUGACAGCUCGGACCCGAAUCUGAUUCAAAUUUAAUUCGUGAUAUCUUUCUCUAGCAAGCUCCGAAUCAUGUGCCGUUUGAUUUGUUGGAAAGUAGACUUGAUAGGCUUCACUUUGAAUCUCCCUUUGCAGGCUAUAACACU